UCUGGACGGAAUAUGAUACAUGAAUGGGUGUGGAGUUCUUUCGACCCAUGCGUUUCCUGUUGAAGGUUCGUGAUCCUGUUUUUCAAAAGAAUGAUGGUGUACGUGCUUUCACCUUCGACGGAUUCUGUCUUCGAAGAUUUUGUAGAGGUUUUUUCUUUUGUUUUUUUCUUUUCUUAUUUCGUUUUCUUUGAUCCUUGUACUUUUGUUCAUUUUCUUGAGUUGUAAAAGGAAUGUUUAAUUGGGACUUUAUUUUCAUGGUUAUCUGCUUCAUUUGUUUUUUUUUUAAUUGUUUAUCGAUUUUUCAUGUGUUGAUCCUGUUCUGCUGGAAUUCUUCUUGACUAUUGUACUUUGUUUUCAUUUAAUUGUUGGUUUUUUUUCUUUAUCUUUAUGUUAUCCACGAUAAGUGAUAAAUAACACAUAGGAAAAUAAGGGAGAAGGAGGAAGAAGAAGAGAACUUUUAGAGAGAAGAGAAGAAGAUGAAAGAUAGAGAAGCUAGAAU
rnacentral:lncRNA from 1 species